ensembl:lncRNA
GGAGUAGCUACGGUAGCUCUUAGAAACAUUGUGGGAGACCAGACAGAGUCGGGCGUAAAGUCUAGAAUGAGAAGUAUGAUCGAUGUUAAAUAUUGAGGUAUUUUGAAACGGAAGAUUUACUUCAGUAACUAUCAGCUUGUAUUUGGGUUUUAAAUUACAGCAAGUCAGUGCAGGCCUCUGCUCUUGCUCCAAAUUAGGCAACACUGUCAAAAUAUUUUAUCAAAGAAACUUUACAAAAGGAGAAGAACUGCUUUAUGAAUAUGUAUCGGUAGUGCACAGUGAACAGAGGGAGAUGUUUUAAGUCUCGUUGCUUCUUUUCUUUCUGCGCAGCUCGGCUUACAAAAAAAAAGCUCUUUCAUGGUUAUGUGAACCCAUCUUUACAGUGAUAAAUGUGCCACAACAGCAAGCCUGUGGACGACAGAGUUGUACAGAGUGAUGACGAGACAGAGAAUAAAUAUAGGUAACAGGGGUAGCGGCGCAACAUGCACCGUGGCUUCUCUUCAUCUGCCUGCGAUUCAGCAGCUUAAGUCCUCGGAUAUGAGUGUUGGUGAACUGGGUGUUAACAGACUACUCCAUGACGGAGGGGGGAGGGAGUCAGCAGAAAGUCUGAAUGACUGUGAGCAAAUGCACCCACAUCUGUUUUAUACAUGCAUAUGUGAUGCCUGCACCUGCCACACCAAACCGUUUGGUGUGCAAAAACUACGAGCAAUUAAUUUUUGCACACGCAGCAAAUAGGCUGGUGAUGAAUAUACGAUAGUGGCAUGACUCAACAGGUGAAAUAGGCACGCCCAUAACCCUAGCAUAGGCCUCAUCUUACCGGCGGUGGCACAGACCCAGAUCUUUCUCUAACAGAGGUUGGCAUUAUAGGGCGUGGGCCGACAGCGCUCCAACGCCAGAAGAACCACUCAAAUCCAGAGCAAACACUGCAGACAAAAGGGAGACAGGGAGAAAAAACUGGAGCAGGCCUUCUCUUUGUGGAUGCCUGCAGCACUGCCAUAGCCAGAGCUUGUGACACUGGCUAUGGUUGGACUACACAGAGAUUAAUAUAAUCUAUCACAUAUCUCUCACGGUCAUUUCUUACUUGAAAGAGUAAAGCAGACCUAUUAUGGUCUUUUCCAGCUUUACAUUUUAUAUUCUUGCACUUCACUGAAGUACAGUACAGGGACAGUGUACACAUAGUUUCUGAUUGCAUAAAAUUAAUGUCGUCUAUGCUAAGCAUUUUCCUCUAAUAAACAUAAAAAUGUUCUUUUCUUAGAGGAAUUGUUCAGGAUUUGUUAGAAAACCACCUAAAAGGGGACCUUUACUCAUUUCUAAGUACAUUUUUCUAUGUGGGAGUCUACUAGAGUAGCUUUGCAAGAUUCACAGUUCAAAAUAAUCCUUAUUUAUGUUUUACUGGGCCUCUGUGCAGCCUCUCCGUCACUCUGACUGAAAUAAGCCAUUUUAGUGUACUUCCCCCUGUUCUUUAAGCCAGAUGUUCCGAAACUUUUUCUGGCACGCCCCAUUUCAGAAGGCAAAAAAAUGUUCACACCCCACACUCAAUCAUUAACAGUGCAAAAAAGGAUUCAAGCUGACUUUUACUUAAAGGUCAGGAGAUUAACAUAAGCAAACCCUUUAUUUUCUUUAAAAUAACCCUUAUUUUAACCCAUAUUUUUCACCUGGUUGUCCCACCUGCAGUGAUUCUACACCCCACCAUUUGAGAACCACUGGUUUAAGCCAGCUUUCUUCUGAUUGGCUUCUGCUCGCAAACAAAAAGUCUGAACAGCAGGUGAGUUUUUAGCUGCCUUUUAAAAGAUACCACAAUGUUCACAGAUUUCAGGCUCAGAGGGAGAGAUUUCCACAGUCUGGGAGCCACUGUCGGCAAAACCUUUGUUGCCUUUAGUUCUCAGUCUUGUAUGCUGCAUUGUUAUCAGGCCCUUUUCACAUGACCUCAGGGACCUGCUGGGGAUGUAUGGGUAUAAAAGUCCACUGAUGUACACCAGUCCUUGUCCUUGUCAACUUAAGUGAUUAAAAACAAGAGCAAGCCAGAGAUUUAACGUGAGCACCAAAGUGAAAGGGGAGUCAAAAGUUACUCAAACAUUCCUGAUAGAAAACUUGGCAAAAGUGGCAAGGCGACGUUUCCAUAACCUUAGGCACAAAUCUCUUAGAGGCACAAACAGGGACUUCUGUUUUCUCUUCAUUAAGUUGGCAAAAAUUGUCAGCUUAACAACUUUUAAUAGAAUCUAUUCGCAUAAGCGUGAUGUGCAACAGAAAUAUCUCGGGGCUUAAAAUAGAUAUAUAACUGAAUGUCAUCUGCAUAGCCAUGGUAAGAAAUGUCCUUUAAAGUGCUCAAAAUGUGUUGAAGAACGAACAGAUAUAAGAGAAACAGUAAGGGCCCUAAAAGAGAACGCCGAUAGAGACCGACCAGUAUCUCAGCCUAUCACAAAUAACGUGAUUGUCAGCAGUGGCGAUGGCAGAGGCCAGAACAACAUCAGCAAAACAGAACAUUUCCUUGAAUCACUUUGGAUCGAGAGGUUGUUUGAGACUCUAGGAAGAGCUGUUUUGAUGGAAUGAGGUCUAUGAAAGCCAGACUGAAAUCUAUCAAGAAGGUGUUUUUUUUUUGUCCAAACCACUUAGCUAUGACAUUCUGCAAAAUUUUAGCAAUAAAAGGUAAUUUUAAGAUUAGUCUGUAACUACUGAGAAGAGAGGCGACAAGCUGUUUUUCUGUUUUUAAUGGGUGGAUGAUAGCGCUCUGGUCUUGAUUAAAGAAAGCAAACUUUGACUGAUAAGACUGAAAGACAGUUUUCAACAGAGAUACAUGUAAAAUUUUGUGAUAGCAGGAGGAUGUUUUUAUUGAAUCAACUAAUUUGACCAGUUCACAAAAAGAAACGUAAAAAGGGCUGGGGUAGGAACAGGCAGCGAAGAUGCUGAAGAAAAAAUAUUAUUUCUCACACUACUCAUUUUUCUACAAAGAAAGUAAGAACAUAUUCACGAUGUUCACUGGGAAAAAUUGGGACAACGGGUCAAACACAAGUAACAAUUUCACUAAUUGUGUCAGAUAACACCCUAACACCCGCCUCUGCUCUUUGAAACCAGGUUUUAAGACAGCACAAAAGUUUUGGUACCGGACCCUUUUUGGUUGACUUGUGAUGUUUGAGUGGGCUUCAGAGGUCAGCAAGCUGUGUAGGGGGAAGCAAAACGGGGAACACACUAAUUUUGAACCUGUCAUCUGCUGCCUGACAACAGUUUCUCUUUUUAAAAAUGCAUCUGCUUUCAUGACCAGUGAUUGGCACAAUGAACAGGAACUCUUGGCCUGCAAUCCGCCGGGUAUACCGGAGGCCCCGAAACAUCAGCUGUCCACUAAUCCAGUUUAAAUCAUUUGAAUACUGUUAACUCUGAGACCCACACGAAAUAUCCCUCUGUGAAUGUACAUGUAAAAAGUAUUACAGUCACACAUCAAAUUGGCAGCUACUUUUAAUGCAUAGCAUGGAAAUGUUUCAUGGUUAUGCUGGUACUACAGUGACCUCCUGUUGGCACCAAUGAUUGCUUUUUAUUAGAUGGAGCCACAUAUGUUUCCCAGUGACUGAUUUACACAUUAUUACUGUCUCUACUAGCUAAGACAUUCCUUACGUUUUAAGUGGUGGAAGUAAAUCACUGGCUCGAUUUAUGAAUAGCUUCUAUGACUCAGUUCUCAGUGACUGAGUGAUGUGAAAGAUCCACUUAUGAAUUCCAGCAUCGAUAAAUAAACUCUUGAAGAAAUACAUUUCAAUUGCCACUUUUUGAAGAGAUCUGGAAACGGCAUGCUGCAGCGGUAAAUGAAACAAACAAACAAAAAAAAAAAACCAAGGCUUUGCUGCACACAGCAGUCAGAUCAUGCUGUAGGAAGACAGAAAGGUCAAAAUAAACGCUGCACAUGCCUCCCAGGCUUUAGCGAUAAGAGAAAUAAGAGAAGGAGGUGUGUCUUUUGUACACAUAGCCAUAUGAGAUCUUUAGACUCGCUGCGUUAUAACUGUAAACACAAAUGUGGCACACAAAUGCACCCGGCCGUGUUAUUCCCUUCUGUUAGUCUUCUAUAGGGUAUGCUUAACUGCUUGCAGGUACUGAGCCAUGACUUCAAUCAGCAGCCGUGCUUCAUCGUCAGCUGUUUAUCUUUGUCGUUAUGUUUGAAUAUGCAAGUGCAGAUACAGUGCCGAUGUUUGUGCUGUAGUAUGCAGAGGAAUGCAGUGCUCGUAGCUGAGAGGUGCUUUGGUGCCUGAGCUGAGUUCAAGUUCAGCUUCCUUUCCUUUUCUCUUGUCUUCUCUCUGUUUUACCCACCACAGUCCGGGGGCACAUCAGGUUCCAGUUGUUUUCUGGCUAUUCGGGGUCAGCGAUGCACGUUGGCAGACCUCAUUGGCACUUUCUCGUUGCAGUGCAAAAAUCUGUUGGAGACUGAACUCGGCUCAGCGUUUGUGUGCCCCGGUGUUGAGUAACAAUGAGCUCCGCAGGGCGAUUGGCAGAUGUCUGUUUGGUGCUGCAGAUACAGUCAUGCCAUUGUGUGGAGUCAGCAAGUAAAAUGUGUGUGUUCGUGUGCGUAUGUGGAUAAGGGGUGAAGAAAAGCGGCUGUUUGUUUUGGCAGGAAGAUCAUUUGCCAAAGAAGUGGCUCCGCAGCCAAUUCUCACCAAACAAACCCGCAGCAGUGAGUGUUUUAUCAGUCCAAGCACUUCAGCAGGCGAAAUGAGAAGGUGGCCAUUUUACUCCUCGCACUCCUUGCUGCUCUUCACAGCUAAGAGGGUUAAUGGUGAGCUGCCGCUCGGCCACUUUUAGCGCGGCGUUCCGUUAAAUUCAAAAGCUUGCGUUCCCUAAAACUUUCCUGUAACAUUUGUUGUUAACGAGAAAAUGAAAUGAACAGUUCCAGCUAAUCAGCAGCAUGACAAAGCCUUAUGGUUUCUCUGAUCUUUUCUCCUACUUGCUGUGACUCACUUGAAGCCCCAUUGUCUGCUCCGAGCCAAGAUCCUCCAGUCCAGAGGGCGUCGGUGCCAAGCCUGGCUCUGAGGAUAUUACAAAAAGGGAAAACCCAUCUUCCCCCAAAACCUUCUUCCAUUACAGAAAAGAGGUUUUCCGCUUCUAUCGAAACUGUCAGUGGAAGUUUUUCAAGCCACUUGGAAAACAUCAAUUGCUGCUUUUUCAGUCUUUAUGUUGGCAAAAUCAUCAGUCACAGGAGCAGCAUGAUCCUUUCAUAGUAGUUUUUCUGAAGAAAAGGCAGAUUGUGCAUGUGUUUUUAUGUCCUUUAUGCUCUCUUUUGUUGUAUGCUUGUGUUGUUGAGCUGCACAGCUGACAGGUCUGUGAAAUAUCAGCACCUGCAUUGUUUUUCCUCACAGUAACCUUUGCAACUGAUGUGGACAUGAAUAUGCCGCCUGUGUGUGGAGCACAUCUUUUUAGUUUUAAACGACGAGCUGUUUCAUGUUGGCGCAGGAGUAAUAGGAGCCACGGCGUGACAGCCAGGCCUGAGGCGACCCAGAAAUGUGCCUUCUUGGAACUUCCUUCUCAUUCCUUGGGCAUAAGAACAGCGGUGCAGUGCAGGAUUGACUCCAAAACCAACAGUUUUGGAAAUAUCUGUUACAUUUGCAUCCCAAAUAUUCAGAAGAGCUUGCAUGAUGUUCUUAUUUGGGUUGACAGGGUUUCAUUUUUCAUCCUUCAUGCCUCUUGUGUUUUCUUGUCGUACUUGGCUGUUUUUGUGUUGACUUAUCUCGUUGACACACAGGAUGGGUAAUUUUGGGCAGCGUAGAUGUCUGACUGCAAACAACAUGUACAACUUACAGUACGCGCAGGAACGGCGUAAACAUGGUUUCUGAUCGAGGCAAAUUCCUGUGGUCAUGUCGCCACUUUUAAUGUUGACUUUUUUCUCCAAUACACCUUCUUCUUCUUCUUUCAUCGCUAUGUGGAAAAAACACUUAAAGAGAACCUAUUAUGCUCAUUUCCAACACUUAUUUUUAUUCUUGGACUCUACUAGAGUACCCCUGCAUGAUUCAGAGUUCAAAAUAAUCCCUUGUUUUAAUACUGGGGCUUGGUUUAGGCUCUCAGUUCAACUAGUGGAAUAAGCUGUUUUAGCUCCCUUUACGUUAACUUUCUGCUGAUUGGUAGCCCCUCACAAGCAAAUGAUUUGGACGGCGGAUGGGUGGGGCUUCGGUGUUCACAGCCAGAGCUGUGUUUUUCAUAUGACCAGGACAUCCAAAUUUAUUCACAUUAUAAAGAGCGAUGACUAGAAAGUAACCUGCCUGAAACUGAGUGUUUGGAGCAGUCUGAAGCCUGAGCUUGUGGCUCAUUGGCUCAUCACUCUAACAUUAUAUAAUAUUAAAGAAAAGAAGAGUAUCACGCACCUCUUUAAUUGCUAUCUUAACAUAAAUUUAAUGUUGUCUGCAAACUUCUUUGACAGAAAAGUCUAAUAUGUUCGAGUAAAUGAAACGAUAGACGGUUAAACCAGAACUUUCCUUUUACACUGACUCACAUCUCCUUGUGAGGGACCAAAAAUCUGUGGGCAUCCUCUUUGUGGGAUCAUCCUCAAUGUAAAAAUAGGAAAGAAGCUAUGCUGUCUCUGUUAUAAGUUAAUCAAAAUUCCACCUAUAAGCACCUCAUAUAAGUGAUAAAAGACUGGUUUGUUAGUUUCAAAGGGCUAAUGUGUGAUUUCUUGGCAACGUCAAGUCUUCUUAUGAUCGUGCAGUUUCUAGCAAGGUAUGAGUCCGACACAAAAUACCUUUGUUUACCUAAUCCUUUCUGUACAGCUGUAAUUGAUGGAGAUAAAACGAGCUAAUUACUGAGCUGACAGGCCGAGUCAUAUUAGCCACGUUCGCGUUUCCAAUCUUUAUGCAAAGAGACUUUAACCAUUAGGGUGUGUGCCGGCAGGAUCUGAAAACCACUCAAAUCUAGAGCAAACACUGCAAACAAAAGUGUCGAGGCGAUCAAAAGCGGAGCAGGCAUUUCUUGUGCGCCCCUCUUUAAAAGAAAAAAAUAAAUAGAGAGACAGAACCUUCUUGACCUGCUUUCAGCCAAUCAGCCCUUGACAACAGGCUCAACCUGAGCAAACAGUGAGUAAGUAAUCAGCGUUCACAUAACCCUGAUAGUAACUAUCUCCUCAGAGUUAUACAUCAGCUGGUAUUGAUUAAUGUGAUGAUGUCGUUGCUGUCCAGUACCGUGGUGUACAGCUGACUGCACUGGUGUUUUCCAGCUUUUUAAACUUUGCUUGUAACUUAUGUGCAUAUGUGCUUAAUUAGCAGUUUUCCUCCUCAGUUAUUAAUUAUAUCUAUAACAUGUAAGAAAACUGCAAUUUCCCAGCUGAAUAUAUAUUUGAGCACCUAGUCGGUUUACUAUCAAGUAAUACUGCAAAAAAAAAGAAGAAAAAUCAUCAAAUUCUGGCAUUUUACAAGUGUGCACUGGCAGUAUUUUCACAUUUUUGCUUUCAAAAUGAUUGCAGAGAUAAUUGCAUUAACACAGACAAGUCUGAUUAAUUUUCCGUCGAUCUACUAACCGAUCAAUCACCUAAUCAUUGCAUCCCUAAACUGAAUUAAAACAGGUUGCGUCACAGCUCCUGGCUCCAGCUGCGCGCUUACCCUACAGACACAGGAAUGGUAUCAAUCUUCUCAUCUAACUCUUGGCCAGAAAGAAAGUACGCGUGCUUCUCAAAAAUGCCGAGCUAUUUCUUUGAAAGCUCAGGGUGCUCAAAACAAACAAGUUGAUUCAAACACGCGUGCACCAAUGCAUAUAAUGAAUAUAAAUGGAGGACUUGAGAGAUACAGUAUAUGCUCAUCGCCAACAAUUCUCAGUUUCCUUUUCCCACCACCUACAUUUGGAAAGGUGUGUACGCCUGUAUGGCUCCAUUAAAAGGUAUCGGUUUUAAUCAUACUUAAAAGUGAUUACGUGGAGCUACAGCACAGUGAGCCUGUUCUUAUUUGGAAAUAUUGACACAACAAUGAAUCACACACUCAUAUCCUCUCAGUUUUCUCACGUCUGCUGACAUUUCAAACUGUGCGAAUAAUUGCCAAAUUGUCUCGGGCUGUAUUAAGCCAGGGGAGGAUACAAAUGCCUUUAAGCAACAUCAGCUGAGGAGAUGUAGAGGCCGGAAUAAAUGCAACACUGCUUAUCCUGCCAACAAAGCUUUAGAAACAGUUACACUUGUUUCAUAAAUCAACUUGUUAAAAAGCACAUGCACAUAACAGAAUAAGCACUCCCAUUUUCCUGAAGGCUGUACGGGAGGAUGGUGGUGGAAGGGGGGUGGGUCAGGAGGUGAUGGAGUUUGUAGGAUAAACUUGGCUAAACUUUGUCAGUGCACGAAAUUCCCCUCAUCAGACUCAAGCCUGCCAUCCUCCCCUCUCUACCCAUCCAUAUCCAACAGUGCGCAAAGCUAACAAAGCCAGUAUUUAAAAAGCUAUUAAAGAACUACACAACUUCUUUCAUAAUUUAAAAUGUCAAAAGCUUGAAUAAGCAUCCCGUUUAUACAAUGAGCAAUCCCUCCAGGAAUAAUUCUCACAAUUUCAGCCACUCUUCACAUCAUUUGUGCGAGUUUGCAGUUUUGUCUGCAGGGUCCUUGCAGAUUUUAUCAGCUACUGCAUCUCAAAUACAAAUAAUCCAAUUCAGAAUCACCGCUAUAAGCUGAGCUCAAACUAAAACGGAAGGUAAAUUCAUGCCUAAGGGUCUUGCUGUCUGUUGGAUUUUGGAAAUCUAAGUCAUGCAUCAAUUUCAGCAAACGCUAACAUUUAAAUCUUUAGAUUAUUUGUAACUUCUAAAUUAAACGGGGACCUAUUUAGGAGACUUCCUCGCUUUCUAUCAGAUAUAUGCACUCACAAGACACUUCAUUAGUUAUACUUUGCUACUAGUGGGUUGGAGCCCGUUUUGCCUUCAGAACUGCUUUAAUUCUUCACGCUUCAGAUUCAACAAGCUGCUGGAAACAUUCCUCAGAGAUUUUGGUUCAUAUUGACUUGAUAGAAUCACACACUUGCUGCAGAUUUGUUGACUGUACAUCCGAGAGGUGCACUAUUGGAUUGAGAUCUGGUGAUUGUGGAGGCAAUUUGAGGAUAGGGAACUCAUUUAAAAAAAUAGCCUGAGAUGAUUUGAGCUUUGUGAUAUGGUGUGCUAUCCUGCUGGAAGCAGCCAGAAGAAGAUGGGUACACUAUGGUCAGAAACAGUACUCAGGUAGACUGUGGUGUUUAAAAAAUGCUCAGCUGGUACUUGAGGGGCCCAAAAUAUGAAAAUAUCUGCCACACUGAUACACCACCACCACCAGGCUGAAGUGUUGAUACGAGGCAGGAUGAAUCCACGCUUUCAUGUUGUUUGCACCAAAUGCUGACCUUACCUUCCAAAUAAAGACUCAUCAGACCAGGCAACAUUUUUCCAAUUUUCCGUUGUCCAAUUGUGGUGAGCCUGUGCAAACUGUAACCCAAGUUUCCUGUUCUAACCUGACAGCUAAGCAGUGGAAAAGUUAGCAUGACUCCUAUUUGACCAACAGUUUUUCUAAAACAGGUCAUUGUGAGUUGCACUCCAUUCAUGUUUUGGAAUAAAUAAAGCAUAAUGUUAUUAAUGAAACAGAUUACACCGUAUUUUGCUAGCACAGUGAUCAGGGACUAUGACUUUCCAUCGCCACAACUGACAGAACCAACAUCAUCCUUCUGUUGGCUCACUUGUGUGUGUGCGCUCCAAAAUGUUGUGUGUUACAUUCAUAAAACUACGAGAGAGAAUGCAAAAAGAAACAAAACAAAAAAAAACAAAAACUGGGCAUACUGCAGUCUUUUUGACAGGAUGCUGUCUGACGUCCAAAAUAUUGUGACGUCUGCCUGGGUGGCCAUUAUUCAGCUGACAUAAUGUUGUCUGAUUGUCUCAGAAACACCAGCUGAAAUGUUUUAAUAGUAUUUAUACUCUUCCCCCUGCUGUAGCUUUUGUUAAAUCACUGUAAAAUAACAAGAAAUAAAAGGUCAGACUUUGCACAACUUUCAAGUGAUCUUGGCAGGAUCCUUGUGGGACUAAAUAUGGUAUGUGGGAAAAUCACAGUUUUAAAAUGUGAUAAAGCUUAAAUCUUCAUUGUGUUUUCAGUUUCCUUCUGAGGUUCUCUUGUCAGUCUUGUCAUAUAGUCAGAUUAGUAAUGAAGCUUUGGGCACAUUCUUUGUUGGCAAAAUAGCAGCACUUAAAGAGCAGACCACAUUUCCAGUGUUGAUGCCGUUUCACAGAGUUAUGAUCUCAGAUCACACACAUGAGAAUGUAUAUUAGUCUUUUGCUCAGGGACAUUUUCAUACUAAGCCACACACAGACUCCGGUAGUGUCUUCAGAAAUGCUGAUAUAGUUAAUUUUGACAGGUAAUGCACAAUGAUCCCUGAAAAAUCCUAACUAAAACAGUCAUUCAUUAAGGUUUUGGAAUUGUGAUCCGGUUGUAUGGCAGUUUUUCCACCCAGUCUCAUGCUGGAGGGAAUUAGGUAGGUAAACAUUAAAAUUUGGAAGUUGGCUCGAAAACUAGAAGCCAAGAAUUGUUUACUCUGUUACAUUAGGAGGACUCAUUUGGGAAGACUUUGCUAGGGAAACGCAACGCCCCUGCAGAUAUUUUACCUUUAUUGUCAUUUUGACAAACAUUUCAGUCUUAGUUUGGUGAAAACCAGUGGGACCUGCAUUAAAAACCUCUAGCUGGCCUUGACCAAAUUUUGUUCUUUUCUAAUGGCUCCCACAGCGUUGAAUUCGGGCUCAGACAGACAUGUUGUGUGUUAGGCAUCAAGAUAAUUAACUGGUCACAGUCGGGUUUUCCUGGAAAUUGACUGUAUUAGUGAGUCUCUUCUCUUAUUCUCGCCUCUUUCCUUUCAUUUUUUUCCCCCGCUUGGCAACUGUCACACAGAAGGCUUUGAAGUGGGUGUAAAUAAGAAGACAUGCAUGCUUAAUGAGCACGAGUAAAAAAGGCUUAAUACUUGUUUUAGCGAUGUAGCUCUGCUUACCGAACUGAACAUCGAGGCAGCGUGACUGCUUAAUUAAGCUGUCUGUUAACACAAAGAGGCCAACAGUGACAUUUGCUGUGGUGACGGUCACAUCAUAUCUGAUUAACUUCAAGUUGUCGUUUGAAAAAGUCCAAAACAUCUGCAACUAAACACUUAUUUUCACCUCCCGAUCUCACUUGUAAAACUAAAUAUCCUACUGUGACUUGCCAAGCAGAUGUAAUGAGCCGAGAUCAAAUACUGAAAGUCAUUCACAGACGCUGAUAUGUGAAAGGGCCAGAGAGCGAAAAGGAGAAAGGAAAAAACAAGAAGUGAGGAAUGGUCUUCUGCUUUCAGAUUUACAGCCGCGGGGUCACCAGUAGAGUCGGAGCUGGAGCAGAGUGGUGCAGAACUCUCCUCCUCCUCCUUCCCUGCCUCCCUCCCUCCUGGCCUCCUUAGCCUUCUAUGCUCACACCCAAUUUUUUUGGCUCUUUGUUACUGUAUAUAGGUCAUACUGUGAUCGUGUGUAUAUACAGGUGAAUUUAUUCUCCUUCCCAGCAAGCAUAUGGAAAGAGGUACUCAAAACAUUUCCUAGAAGUAACCGAACAGAAGAACAAUGCUGCAUUUGAAGCAAAGGUCAUGCCUUCAUGUGUUUUAGAGAAGAACUCAUUCUGAACAAAUCCUCACUGUAAAAAAUCAAAAUAAUGCAUUCAUUGUGUCAUGUAUAGAUUUUUAUUUUAGUGUUUACAUUAAAGUAAAACGUGUUUUAUGAGCUAGUUUUAUGUUUUUGUAUGCAAAACUCUUUAUUUUAACUUCUCGCUACACACCCACAGCACUAGGAAAAUUUCUAGAAUUUUAACGCAUCUGUGUGCAUGCAUGCAUGCGAGUGUCAACUCGGCUAAGCUCAGCUAUGCUGUCAUCAUUUAAAGAAUUUAUACAGUACAUUUAAGGAAUUAUCCCAAGCGGUGCAUGUCUUUUAUUUGCAGAGAAAGAGCGACGGUUAUAAAACAAUAUUACAUUUUUUCCAUGUCUUUGUUCUUGGCACAACAAACAGCAACGCUGCAGCGAGUCAAUUUUAUCAUCACAAAUAUGUGAUAAGAAUAAUAUGAGCAAUAGCACUUAUUUUUUAAAAAGAUUAAACAGGACAGUUUUCCAUCGCUUCUCACAGCCUCUGUAACAAAAUGUAAUGCUUGAGCGUGCGUGUGAAUAAAAGUGCGUUUGCCCCCACUAGCUUACCUGAGCUCCCCGUGAAAAGCGAACACAAUCUGAGCCUGAGCAGAAAGGCAGGAUGUUUUUGAUGAAGCAGUGGGCUUAAUUUAGGCCCAGGCAUUCUCAGUAUCUGUCACCUAACUCCCAGUGAUCUCAACACACAGUGCAGUUGUGUGCAUGUGUGUGUGUUGGUUUAUGUUUAUCCACAGAGGCAGGCUAUAAAUUCAAGAAAUGUACACCAACAUUCAGCCCCCCUAAAAACUGUAAUACCUCCCAAAUAUAAAGACAACGUCAUACCCAUUCCCCGUUUUAUUUUGCUAGUAAUAAUGGAGCAAAUAAAAACCGCAGCUUAACAACAGACACUACUAUGAUAGUGUCUCUCUGAUAGGAUUUUAUUAUGAAUUAUUAAUACUGGCUAUUAAAAAAUAAUCCCAUUAACUCUGCCAAAUGCCCCAAAAUCUUGAUUUCUUCUUCUAAAGAAGCUGGCUUGGUUAUAGCUCCUGCUUGGCCAUUAAGUAACCAAACAGGCGUAGGCAUUGCCAGCAAACCAGCAAAAGCAAAAAGCGAGUGCCAGCAACCUCUGCCAAAGACUUCAGCUUGCACCCAGUGUUCUUCUCUUACUGGUACACAGAAAAAUGAUCUGCCUACUUCUUUGAAUUGUACAUUUUUCUAUCCCUGUAUGGAUUUUUAAAAAAAUGAAAAAAUAUUUUAAGAAUGAAAACCUUUUGUUGCAAAGCAGAAAUAUUUAAGAGAAAUUAAAAGAUGAAUGUCUAUAUGUAGAUUCUUGCUUUUUGAGCACGUACGUUUGCUGAUAUGAGCAUGUGCAUUUGCUCCUUCUUGGCCAUUAAGUAACCAAGCAGGCAUAGGCAAAACUAAAAGCCGAGCUCCUACAAACUCUGCCAGUGACUUUGUUUUGCACAGAGUGUUCUUCUCUUUGCUGGUACAUAAAUAAAUUUUCUACCCUUUGAAUUUAAGACUUUUUCCAGUCUGCAUGGAAAAUGUUUUUAUUCAUAAUACUGACAAACCUCUGUUUUUAAGCAGCUGCAUAAAGUAAUUAUAUGGAUCUCCAUUUUCUAGCCCUCUCUGCAUUGUUGCUGGAUGAGCAUGUACAUUUUUGAAAAUCACGCAAGAGGACCUUGCGACGUCUGACCUCGAGCUUGGCGUCACUUUAAUGCUGCAUUAAACGAACGUGCUCCAACUCGUCAAACGACUGCAUGGAGAGCUAGGAGGAGAUCUCUGUGGUCGUCAUGCAUCCAUAACGAUUGGAAAGACAGGAAGACCACACAGCAGCAUGGUCAGAUCAGGUUGUCAGAAACCAUAUUUAAAAUCUGGGUCAGGGUCCAGGCCGUAACCUCGCUCUCACUAUGGCUCCGCUCUCCCUCCUCUGUACCCGAUUCCACCUUCGUCCCACGACUCUAUCUUUGUGUUUUCUCCCUCUUUUGGUUGAAUCACUUCACCCACUUUCCACAUCCACGUCUUUAUGCAUUUCAUUCCCUGACUCAACCUUAAUACUCGGCCCGAGCAAUCCAGGCAGGCAGGCAGCUUUGCCGUCUGCUUGUGCUGAGCUACAUGGCAUCUUAAGAUCAUAUUAAUUUCAUUGUGAAUUUAUGAGAAUGAACGAUGUAUUUAAAUACAAUAAUCCAAAAAUCUAAAUGUGUGAAUUGUUGAGAUAAUAGUGAAACUACUGCUCCACUCCCAUGAGAAAUUAUAGAAAAUUCAAGGUGGGUUUAAGGCACAGCCUUAUAAUCCAAAUGCAAGUUCAGGGGUAUGUAGAGCUAUUAUUGUUGUUAGAAAAUAAAUCUGUCCACUUGUUAAAUGAUGACGUCGUGGCCCUUGAUUAAUAGUUUUGCAUUCAAGCCUCUAUUUAAUUUGUAAAACUGAAUUUAUCUGAAGUCACUAUAUAUUAUAUAGUAUUGUUAUAAUACAAUAAGUUAGUGAGAAAACCCCAAUGAGAAAGCACUUGGAAAAAGUGUCAAGCAAAAACUCCUUUUUAACAGGAAGAGACAUUUGGCAGAACCACGCUGAGGGAGGGGCAGCCAUCUGCCUUGGCUGAUUGGUGGGUGAGGGGAAAGAAAGGGCAUAAGUGUAGAAAGAAGAGCAAUGAAAGACCACAGAGAGCAAACAGGACAGAUAAACUACAGAAGAGAGAAGAUAAAGGUUGGCAAAGGCAAGCAAGUCUCUUGUCUUUGCCAAUCAAGGAUUAAACAUGUAUUUAACAUGAGGUUAUUUAUAUACAUAUAUAUAUAAUAUAUAAUAUAUAUAUGAUGUUGCAUUUUUUUUCUAGAAAUACCAGGGCCAGAAGACAUCAUGUCAUUUUUAGAUGUCAGCUAGGGAACUGGCUUAGUACCUCUCCUCUGUCUUUCUUUCUUUUUAUGGGGACAUUUUUGAUUGUAACAUCUGAAAGAAAAACCACAAUGAUCCCUUUGUUGGAGAUGAAAGUGUUUCCAGUGUUUUUAACUCUUAAUGAUGUCUCUGUGUUGUUUGCUUUUAGGAAGUGAAGAAGCAUUUGAACCAGAAAACGGUCUCUCUGAACCUAUUGUGGAGCUAACAUGGCUGCCAGCAAUAAGACAUGAUGACAUUAUCCUGCUUUCUUGCUGGAGGCCUCCCAGUAAGGAGUUCUUGUGAACACAUCUUCCGAGUGACAUGGAGACGGGCCUGCAGCCACCAGCGGAGCUGAGCCGAGCCGCUUUAGAGCCCUGCUGAGACCUGCCAGGCCCACAGCUUUCCCUGCCAGGGGCCUCGCUCGAAGUCAAAGUGAGUUACAACCCAUGCUCUUGACACACACAUGCUAAUGCAGAAGCAAGCACCCAGUAUGUAGGCAUGCAGGCGCACGCACAGGUGAAAUACAUAGAGGAAUAUAUGUGUGCAACCAUAAACCAGUACAGAGGCAAAGAAAUAACUCUGUUCGUGCAAAUAUAUGCACACUCAUACAUAAUGAUACCCCUCUAAAAGAGAUUGUAGCUCCACUGGACCACUAGAUAGACUACAUUUACAUACAUGCAAUCACACACAAUCAUAGAUUUGGUAUUUGCAGCCUAAAUAAAUGAUAUCCCUGCUUCUACCCAUGCAGUAAAGUGAGCAUGUCGUCCAACAGGGGCUCUAUCUGUCAGGGGUAGUUUGAGAUCAAGGUCCAGCAGCUGCUGGAUCAGCUGGAUUGAUCUGUCUGGGUAAACAUGAGGACUGAAAAUGAGCGUGUUUGUGAUUAAAGGCUUAACAGGAAGUGUGUGUGUGUGACAGUGAGAGAGAGAGGGAGCUUCAGUAUGCUGUUUAUACCCUGUACAAAAGAGAGCACUGUGUAUUACCUCCAUGCAUAUGUCAUAUACAUGUGUGUGUGUGUUAUAUUGUGCUUAUAUCCAGCUCCAUUUAAAAAAAAUGUUUGGAUACUGCUGGAGUCAAUUUAUAGCAACAUCAUCCUUAUCUUAUACUGGGCAUUACUGGUGCAGCCCCUUAGUUCAUCCUCCUUUCUUCUGAUUGGCUGCCCCUCGUUAAUAGAAGUCAGUGGGCGGGGGUUCUGUGCUCACAAGCCAGAGCUAUGUACCAUUAACUGGUAGCGACAGAUUGCUGCCCCUCACUGAGCCUGGUUCUGACAGGGGUUUCUUCCUGUUAAAUGGGAGUUUUUCCUUCCCACUGUUGCCAAAUGCUUGUUCAAAGGUUAAUGUUUGAAUAUUGGGAUUUUCUCUGUUUUCUGGCCUUUACUUUACAAUACAUCGUGCUUCGAGCCGACGAAUGUGAUAUGGCAAGUUAAUUUACGCAACUGAACUGAAUUAAGAAAACCUCUCAAGCCAUUGUAACACAUUUUUGACAGAAAAUCAGGAAACUCAUAUUGGCCCUGGUUAAUGUUUUUCAUCGUGACUCACCUAAAAAGAGACAGUCUUCCAGAAAAUGGUUACCAAAAGUAUUUUCCUAACCAUAAUCACGUAGUUUUGGUGCCUAAGCAUAACAAAACUGCAAGCGAAAUUAAAAAAACAACUUAAAGUUGUGACUCAAGUUGUGACUCAACCUUUUCUGAGUUGUCACCAGAUAUCCAAAAUUAUACUGCGAAUUAGUGGAGACAUCAACGCCCCCCCCUCCAAACAAAGCGAAAAACAUGGCACAAAUCAGAUAGGUGGAAUACUCAUGGCCAUUUUUUAGAUACUGAGCAAAUGGACGAGAAUUUACUUAAAAUGUGGUUGUAGCCACAUUAAUUAUCUUGCAAAGUGCCUUUAGAUACAGAAUAAAUGUGUCAGUCCCUCUGCUCAUUACAGCCAAGCCGUAUCUGAAAAGACCCUAUUAAGCUCUCACAUGAGGGCUGACCAACAGUUUCAUGCUGGCUAUAUAUGAAUGUAUCUCACAGCAAUAAUAUAUAGCGAGUGCAUGCGUAGCUAUAUGGUUUGUGUCUAAUCCCAGGAAUGUUGAUGUGGUCCAGAGUUUAAUAAAUGGAGGCGUGGGUGGGGAGUAAGAGUCCCCUGGAGCAGAGUUAAGGUCUUAAUGUACUAAAAAGCCUUGACCCAGACCAUAUACACCCACUCACAGGGACACAGCAUCUUCUCUCCAGUCCAGCACAUUCUUUCAUACUUUGGCUACGCAGCAAAGAAAUAUGCACUUGGACAUACACGGAGAUAUGCAAGCACAACAUGGACGAUAUGACCUUAAACAAUAAACAUGCGCAAAAUGUACCGAGUGGCUCAAACACACACACACACACACACACACACACACACACGAACACAUCCUUGUUGACUUGUGUUGGUCGUUAUUCAAUGAGGAGCACAUGACUUAAAUCGGGUGUGGUGCAUGACAUCUUAUCGAACAAAAGCGUCCCACAGAGAGAGCUGAUGGGGGAGACGAUCCCUCCCCGCUUGUCCUGUCUGUUGGGAGUCAUGAGGUCUCCAUCUCGUUUGCCACGCUGUGUCUCGUGGUUCAAAGUCCAUAAAAUGUUCAAGUUAAAAAAAAAAUCCCCUGCUUUUAAAACUUUCAGCUGCGGUGGUGUGUUGUCAAUAAAUCAGCUGCUUUCCCUGAGGAUAGCAACGUUAUCUCCGGGAGGGAGAGGAAGUGCAAAACACUGCAUGUUUUUCAAGAAUGAAGCCUUUGAAUUUCUUGUUGUGUCCUAUAAAUGUCUCACCUUGAGGGUCUGAUGUCUCGCAGUGAGAAUGGAGGGCUUGUAUUCUACACAUUCAACCCGUCGCUUCUACAUGCUUCUGCAGUCAUGCAGAAAUAAACUCAAGUAUGUUGAUCACAGAAGCUUUAUUGUGUUUUGUCUCAUUAACGAUCUCUUUUAAGUGUCUUGCUGAUAAACUUGUCAUUUAACUGUCAAAAUCAUGACGGCUACCUCCAUGUUAGAUCUUACAGGGAAUAUUUCUUCAUUUAAGAGAUAUGCCAGUUUCUCAAAUGCAUUGUAGCAUCGAACUUUUCUAACAUUAACCAGCGGAGCUGAAUAUUAGAAUGGAAAUAUCCAUAUCAGUUGGACCAGACAUUACCCAGGCAGCCUCCUUGUAGAAAGUAAAGUCCAAAUGAACACAUGUGUGAUUCACAGAGUGAGUUUCCAUCACGUCCUGCCUCCUGCGCAGUCUAUCCAGUCGCCACUCUUCGGCCAAACGUAAACUGCACAAUGCAUUUCAAGUGUCACUAUGCAUCUGUCACAUGUGAGAAAAGCCAACUGUACAAAGUGCAGACCUGAUUCUCUCAACAUUAUCUGGAAUUUAUGUGUAAAACUUGCUAUAGUCUCAUCAACCAAAGUUGCGCGUCACCAUAUAUUAGCUUCAGUGAUAAGAUUAUUUAUCACAACAAAUCUUUGCAACUGUUGCAACUGUUUUGGAGUCCAGUAAGGUUAAUACAGGGGAAAUACUGCGAGUUGCAUACAAAAGCAGGUUGUUCAAGUGCUUCUGUGAGUGUUAAAAUGGCUAAAAAAAAUCUGAAUUCCACAAUGACAAGAGAAGUGAAAAGAUGAUUCUCAAGCUUACUCCUGAACAUUCCCCUUCUCUUUCUAUCUAGCUGAAAAAAGCUUGAAAAGUGUGAGCAAACUGGUGAAAUCAAGCUGAGCAGAAAGGGGUAAACAGGACAUAUGUGUGCAUGUGUCUGUAUAAUCCCAUCACAAGAUAGUGUCGUUGAGAGCCAUUGCCCCGAGGCAGCUGGCCAUAGUCCGUCAAGGGAACUUUAAAUUAGAGUAAUGCUCACUAACACAAGGUUAGACAGUUCAUCUGCUGGAGAGAUAUGAAAAGGGGGGAUUGUCUGGUGCUGUGCUGAUGGCCCAGAGAAAAUAGAGUGAAGAAGUUUUGAAUCCCAGGCCUAUACGUGGACAUGGCUAAGUGUAGAUUGAAUUGAAGAACUGGAGGAUGAAUUGAGGCAGAUGCAGACAGCGUUGCAGAGACUGAGUCCUUUGAUAAUUGAUAAUGGCCUUGACAAAUGUAAGACAAUGUAAUAUUAAAAAAAGUGAAGUAAAAUAAAGUUUGUCAAAUGAUUUGUUUCUGGUUGUGUAAAAUGCUGAAUAAAG